rnacentral:sRNA from 1 species
UCUUGAGGGCUGAGCUGCAGCCACUGAAGAUUGUGGAAAAACAUGCCUCUUGUUUCUCACCCCAUAUCAUGAAAUGGGUUCUUUCAAGUUUAUCCCUGCUGCUUUUCCUGGAGACGUCUACUGAGCUGCUGGUUCCUUAUCUGGCCCUGGGCGAGGAAAUAUAAGCUUACCAAAGUCAGCAACAAUAUGCUACACAGCUGCUUUGCUCAAAGCAAGAGCUGUCUCUGACAAAUUCUCUCCUGAGGCUGCAUCUCGGCGGGGGCUGAGCACAGCAGAGAUGAAUGCAGUAGAGGCCAUUCAUAGAGCUGUGGAAUUCAAUCCUCAUGUGCCAAAAUACCUACUAGAAAUGAAAAGCUUAAUCCUACCCCCAGAACAUAUCCUGAAGAGAGGAGACAGUGAAGCAAUAGCAUAUGCAUUCUUUCAUCUUGCACACUGGAAGAGAGUGGAAGGGGCUUUGAAUCUUUUGCAUUGUACGUGGGAAGGCA